AUGAAUGCUGGCGGCGUGCCUUAAGCAUGCAAGUCGAACGGAAACAGUAGCAAUACUGUUUCAGUGGCAGACGGGUGAGUAACGCGUGGGUAUCUACCCCUGGGAAUCGCAUAGCCCUCCGAAAGGAGGGGUAAUUCGAUAUGGUCUCGCAAGAGUAAAGGACUUUACGGUCCGCCGAGGGAGGAGCCUGCGUCCUAUCAGCUAGUUGGUGAGGUAAUAGCUUACCAAGGCGAUGACGGGUAGCUGGACUGAGAGGUCGAUCAGCCACAACUGCACUGAGACACGGGCAGUACACCUACGGGUGGCAGCAACUGGGAAUAUUGCGCAAUGGGGGAAACCCUGACGCAGCGACGCCGCGUGGAGGAAGACGGCCUAUGGGUUGUAAACUCCUUUUGCCAAGCCGUUCACAGCUUGGCGAAUAAGCAUCUAGCUAACUACGUGCCAGAAGUCUCGGUAAUACGUAGGAUGCAAGCAUUAUCCGGAUUCAUUGGGCGUAAAGUGUGCGUAGGCUUUCUAUCAAGUCUUUAUUUAAAGCCCGAGGCUUACCCUCGGUUUUGGUAAAGAUACUGGUAGAAUGGAGGUUUAAUAGGGGUGCUAGAACAGUUAGUGUAGCAGUGAAAUGCGUUGAUAUUAACUGGAAUACCAAAGGCGAAGGCAGGCACCUAGGCUUUACCUGACGCUGAGGCACGAAAGCCAGGGGAGCGAAACAGAUUAGAUACCUGUGUAGUCCUGGCCGUAAACGAUGUCCGCUAGCUGUAGUUCGUAAGAGCUGCGGUGUAAGCUAACGCGUUAAGCGGACCGCCUGGGGAGUACGGCCGCAAGGCUAAAACUCAAAGGAAUUGACGGGGACCCGCACAACCGGUGGAGCGUGUGGUUCAAUUCGAGACAAAGCGAAAAACCUUACCAGGGUUUGACAUGUUACCGUUUUAUACUUUUGGAAACAUUAGUAGAUCCGUAAGGAUGGUAGCACAGGUGAUGCAUGGUUGUCCUCAGUUCGUGCCGUGAGGUGUUCCCUUAAGUGGGGAAACGAACGCAACCCCUAUGUAAUGUUACAUUAUUCAUUGCAGACUGCCCCCGUUAUACGGGGGAGGAAGGCGGGGCAGAUGUCAAAUCAGCACGUCCCUUAUACCCUGGAUACACACACCCUACAAUGGCGAAGAACAACGUGUUGCAAGCUAGCAAUAGCAAGCUAAUCACUAAAAUUUCGCCUCAGUUCAGAUUGGGGUCUGCAACCCGACCCCAUGAAGUCGGAAUCGGUAGUAAUCGCGGAUCAGCAGGCCGCGGUGAAUACGUUCUCGGGUCUUGUACACACCGCCCGUCAAGGCAGCAAAGUCGGGGGUGGCUGAAUCAUCCUGUAAGGGGUGAGAGGCCAAAUUCGGCGAUGAGGCUU
rnacentral:rRNA from 1 species